rnacentral:sRNA from 1 species
UAGCCUUGCUCUCCAAAUGACCGCCAAAC